rnacentral:misc_RNA from 1 species
GAUAAUUCAUGUUGGCAGGCUAUAAAUGUAUGGUGUCAACUUACAUGAAUAACAUAAAAAUGGCCAAUCCAAAAAUGUUCAACCCUAACACAAAUAUGUUUAUAACAUAGGUUAUACAAUACAACCGAUACAACCCAUUUAAUAAAUAGGUUAUUAACAUGUCAUACGACACGACACAACAUGUUUAGCCCAUUUAAAUAAAUGAGUCAUUAUAAAUCUUAUAUGAUACGACACAUUUAACCUAUUUAACUUGCGAAGACAUAUAUUAAGCAACAUCAUCAAAAUA